rnacentral:antisense_RNA from 1 species
CAAAAAGUUAGCCUGGCGAGGGGAGGAUGAUGAGAUUACCCCUCUUGUCACAUAAACAAGGAAGUAAAGGAGGCCCCUUGUGCUCUCAGAACUCCAAGCAUGAAACGAUUUUCUGCCAUUUCAGUUCCUGUUAUCGUGCUUUGAGGUGCACUGAACUGCAGCAAACCCAGAGGAUCCAAGGCUACGCUGAAAAGCCUCUGACCACAGUGCAGGGAGCAGAAGACAUUAAUGACAUGAUGUCGACACAACCCGCACUCAGGAUCCUCCAGGAAAAGAACACAGAGAUAACCCCGGAUCGAUGGUACUUUUUGAAAAUGCUUUACUGCAAAAGAGUGGCUAGGGUUUUACAAGGGCUAUGAAGAAACAUAUUAAGGUUAAUAAAGCUUUUUAUUGAGUGUUUA